GGCAAUCAAAGUAAAGGAAGUGGAGAGACAAAGAGGGAAAACAAUGAGAUGAGAAAGUCAAACCUGUGUCUGUCGUUGUCUUCACCCAAAAGAAAAAAGAAUAACUACCGCAGAUAUAUAUAAAUUUAUGUAUAUAUUUAUAUUAUUACGGUCACUUGUCGGUGGUAUUAUUCGUUGUGGUGAAUUAUAACAGACGCAGCCUCCCACUACCACCACUACCUUUAAACCUCUCAGUCUCCUUCUCUUCAUCAAACGAACAGUCCAUCAAUUAAAAUUUCACUCUCUCUUUUCUUUUCCCUUCUGAACCUUCUUUCUAUUUAUCUUCUAUUCAACACUAGCUGUUCCACCCGCCAUCUUUGAAAUUAUCGAUCUGGCCGGGUUCAGGACUGUUGCUGUUCGACUUAUCGGCGGUGGUGGUGGAGGUAGUAAUAAUAGUACUAAGAAGAAGAAGACGGAUAAAAAAACUAAAGUUAAAGAUAAGUUCAUGGAGUUGUGGCACAAAAUGAUCUUCCCUGUUCGGCAAGUCUGGGAGGCCGUUUCCUCCAGAGUUAAAGCUCGUAAAAACGGAACUGGCCUUUUGAAGCUUCAUGAUGCUGUACAAACUUGUGAAUAUCAUGAUGUUCAGGUGAUGUGGGAAAUGCUGAGGAGAUCAGAAAGAGAGUUAAUAAAUCAUAAUCCGAAGCAAAGGCAAACGACGUUUUUGGAGAAUUUUUGUUUGGUCCAUAGUUGAGCUUUUCAUCCUUCUCAGGGAAUCAUGCCUGAUAUGAGACUCAAGUUGAUACUGUAAGAAGAAUAAUAAUAACAAUGUGUUGCCCCAGCUGACAUGGGCCCAUGUUAUUAUAAUCCAACAGCCGACAUGGCAUUGCAGUAGCAUGCAUAGAGCUGUUGCAGCUGUCUCCAAAUCAUUAUAAGAUUAAAUACUAUUCAGCUUUCAUUUUUCCCUGUGGGGAGAAAAACUACUGUCAAAUAACAUUGGCAUGUUUGUACAUAAAUGAUAUUUUCUCACAACCCAGAAACAAUGGCAUUCUCUUGUGGCUUUUAGAUAAAUUCAUCUUAUUCCAU